UGUCCAGUGAUGGAGGUGGGGACCCUGGUCCGGAUCCCCGACGCGCCAACGGCCGCCCCCGAUCAAGCUGGCCUGUACCAGAUACCCUGAUUGGUGUGGAGAGACGGUUAAAGCCAGCACAGUGGAGAGGAACGGAGAGAGAGAAAGGACUGGGACUUGUGCAGUGAUCGAGUGGAAAGAGUGCUGGAGGAAGCAAGGAGAGCUGAAUCAGCGUGGAAAGAGUUUGAUUGAAGUUGUGCUGUGCUGUAGCGAGACUACGGUGAACGCGCUUUGUGCGCACCUUUUGUUUUGUUUGAUUCUGAGUAAAUAAAGUCUGUACAAGUCCCAGUA